rnacentral:lncRNA from 1 species
GGACACGGAUGACGAAAGCGAUGAUGACGUGGAUUUUCGGUGGGCGGUCGGUGCCGGGAUGGCUCCGCCCAGCGUGCGCGUCCGAGAUCAUCGCGGCGUCCGUGAUGACCCAUGUGACUUCCGGGGGUACGAGGUUGACACGGACGACGACCAGGAUGACGCCGUUUGGGCAGUCGGUGCCGGGAUGGCUCCGCCCAUCGCGCCCAUCCAGGAGCGUCACGAGGUCCGUGGAGACCCACGUCCCUCCCAGCAGUGUGAGGAAAGCUGGUGGAAGAGGGCGACGGGAGGUCGCCAGCCAGCAACUGCGCUGCCGGGACUGCCUCGCAGGGAAUCCUCCAUUCCUGCUCCAGUCGCCGACCCGCAUUCCCUCUGCCCGGACGUUCCCCAGCAAAAUGGCAGCGCAGCACCAGCGUCCACACCUGCUGGAGAAGACGUCCACCCCCCUCCACACCACACACCUACCACCAUCUCCAGCGACGUGCCCAGCCCCGUGUGGGACCGCCCAAUUGUCCCGGGACCCUUCAGUGGGGCAGCAGACACAGACGAGAUCACUACCAUCCUCACGUGUCUGACUGGAUCAGCAUGGGGCUGGAGCACAACCCUCUGGCAGCAGGGAGAGACAGACAGGAGUUUUCGGGACUUCCAACAGAGACUGAGGGCGGAGUUUGAUCGGCCUGAGCCAGGGAUCGAACUCUGCCCCUCCACCACAUCCAGUGCCAGUCAGGAUCCGGGGCAAGAAGACCCAGCACUGGUGGGCGACGAGAAGGUCGCUCCUCCCGAGAUCCUGGCUGUGCCCCCUGAGGAGGUCCCAGAGAGCCCAGAGAGGGAGCCAGACGACCCUCUCUUCUGUCUGUCUCUGUCUGUGUGUGUCUGUGUGGCAUAUGUGUCCGUAUGUCGCCCCCAGUUCCCCUCUUUGUGUCCACCAGAUGGCGACCCAGCCGCGGAGCCGAACCCCAGGGAGGAGGUUCCUGACCCGAAUGUGCUGGUCCAAGGCGAGGUGGACAAGCCCCAAGGUACCCCUAAGUCCAGCCGGGGG